GACGAACGCUGGCGGCGUGCUUAACACAUGCAAGUCGAACGGAAAGGCCCUGCUUUUGUGGGGUGCUCGAGUGGCGAACGGGUGAGUAACACGUGAGUAACCUUCCCUUGACUUUGGGAUAACUUCAGGAAACUGGUGCUAAUACCUGAUAGGAGCUCCUGCUGCAUGGUGGGGGUUGGAAAGUUUAGUCGGUUGGGGAUGGACUCGCGGCUUAUCAGCUUGUUGGUGGGGUAGUGGCUUACCAAGGCUUUGACGGGUAGCCGGCCUGAGAGGGUGACCGGCCACAUUGGGACUGAGAUACGGCGCAGACUCCUACGGGAGGCAGCAGUGGGGAAUAUGGCACAAUGGGCGGAAGCCUGAGGCAGCAACGCCGCGUGCGGGAUGACGGCCUUCGGGUUGUAAACCGCUUUCGCCUGUGACGAAGCGUGAGUGACGGUAAUGGGUAAAGAAGCACCGGCUAACUACGUG
rnacentral:rRNA from 1 species